AUCGAACGCUGGCGGCAGGCCUAACACAUGCAAGUCGAGCGGAGCGGCGGACGGGAGAGUAAUGCCUAGGAAUCUGCCUGGUAGUGGGGGAUAACGUCCGGAAACGGGCGCUAAUACCGCAUACUAUCAGAUGAGCCUAGGUCGGAUUAGCUAGGUGGUGGGGGAAAGGCCUACCAAGGCGACGAUCCGUAACGGGUCUGAGAGGGUGAUCAGUCAAACGGGAGCUGAGCCACGGUCCAGAGUCCUACGGGAGGCAACAGUGGGGAAUAUUGGCGAAGGGACGAGUGCCUGAUCCAGCCAUGCCGCGUGUGUGAGGAAGGUCUUCGGAUUGUAAAGCACUUUAAGUUGGGAGGCGUUACCAACAGAAUAAGCACCGGCUAACUUCGUGCCAGCAGCCGCGGUAAUAC
rnacentral:rRNA from 1 species